UCAGAUGGCCGGAUGGCCGCGGCGGGCGAAAGCCCGUCGAGGAAAGUCCGGGCUCCACGGAAACACGGUGACGGAUAACAUCCGCCGGGGGCAACCCCAGGGAUAGCGCCACAGAAAACAAACCGCCUUCUCCUCGGAGCGGGUAAGGGUGAAACGGUGCGGCAAGAGCGCA
rnacentral:RNase_P_RNA from 1 species